rnacentral:rRNA from 1 species
GAUGAACGCUGGCGGCGUGCCUAAUACAUGCAAGUCGAGCGAACAGAUAAGGAGCUUGCUCCUUUGACGUUAGCGGCGGACGGGUGAGUUACACGUGGAUAACCUACCUAUAAGACUGGGAUAACUUCGGGAAACCGGAGCUAAUACCGGAUAACAUAUUGAACCGCAUGGUUCAAUAGUGAAAGGCGGCUUUGCUGUCACUUAUAGAUGGAUCCGCGCCGUAUUAGCUAGUUGGUAAGGUAACGGCUUACCAAGGCAACGAUACGUAGCCGACCUGAGAGUGUGAUCGGCCACACUGGAACUGAGACACGGUCCAGACUCCUACGGGAGGCAGCAGUAGGGAAUCUUCCGCAAUGGGCGAAAGCCUGACGGAGCAACGCCGCGUGAGUGAUGAAGGUCUUCGGAUCGUAAAACUCUGUUAUCAGGGAAGAACAAAUGUGUAAGUAACUGUGCACAUCUUGACGGUACCUGAUCAGAAAGCCACGGCUAACUACGUG